GGAAAACAGGCCUCCACCCUGAGUAUCAGGGAAAUGGGAGUCUGUAUGAGGGAUAAAGCAGUGAGACUCGGCAUCAUCUACAUCUCUGAAGCAAAUGAGCUAUGGAGAAAAGCCCGGAAACUGCUGAUCUUCUGAGAUGUUCUCACACGGUUUACACAGCAUGGUGUGAAAAACGAGAAGCUUCCAGUUAGCAGAAGAUCUGCAGGCGGAAUCACCUUGUUGAUGAAACAGGCCAGACUGGUUCAAGCUGACAGGAAACUACAGGCCGAGUGUAAGAUGAGGGGAGAUCAUAUUUGGCCUGUAAAACUGUGUGUGUUCAGUGGAUGAGAACUGCACAGUGAACAUUAGUGUGAACACACACACUCUGUGCUUCAUAUUAAGGU
ensembl:lncRNA